rnacentral:rRNA from 1 species
UACAGAGGGUGCGAGCGUUAAUCGGAAUUACUGGGCGUAAAGCGCGCGUAGACGGUUUUGUAAGUCAGAUGUGAAAUCCCUGGGCUCAACCUUGGAACUGCCUUUGAUACUGGAGAUCUUGAGUCCGGGAGAGGUGAGUGGAAUUGCGAGUGUAGAGGUGAAAUUCGUAGAUAUUCGCAAGAACACCAGUGGCGAAGGCGGCUCACUGGCCCGGAACUGACGCUGAGACGCGAAAGCGUGGGGAGCAAACAGG